rfam:Ailuropoda melanoleuca scaffold1812_10, whole genome shotgun sequence.
ACCUGUCUGGCUCAGUUGGUAGAGCAUGAGACUCUUGAUCUCAAGUUUGUGAGUUCAAGCCCCACGUUGGGGG